AUAUACAUAUAACUGAGGACAAAAGUGGCUACAAAAUACAAAUAUCAAAAUACAAAAAAAAGAGUCACUUCUAUCAUUAUGCUAUUGGACUCAUCAGAGUACGAAAAUAAUCAUGUACUCAAGGUUUGCGGAUCCACAUGAUCCUCAUAGCCUUCAAUGGGUUGGUCAGCUGACAAUCCCUCACUAUCUUCCUUAUUUAGGAAGAUAU
rnacentral:lncRNA from 1 species